UAUGUUUUGCUUAAUAAAGCUCAUUCAAUACAAGAAAAAGAAGUGAUACCCAGACAACCAUAUUAAACAGAAGUUUAUCGGGAACGACUGUUUCCUAUCAUUUUUUUACAAUCCUAAUUUCAUCGGAGUUUGGGUCUAGAAAAUCAUCAUUUGUUGGAAAAUUCUCGGUAAGUUACGAUAACAUAUAUUGUGGAAAUUUUCAUCGGAAAAUCAUCUGAAUGUACCGAUGACUUUUUGAGUAAUCCACCUCCGAUUAAUUUCCGGCAGCUGAAAAUAUUUAUACAAAAAACAAUUAUUUUAAUUAAAUUAUAACAAAUAUUAAAAAUCUUCAUAUAUUUCAUUGCAUAAUAAAUGUAAAAAUUCAAUAACAAAAAAUUAAAAGGAAAGAACGGAUCUUCUGGUUUGCAAUAAAUUUGAUAAAAUUGGUGGUGUAUGAUGCAACGAUGGUGAUAGCAGAUGAGAAGUGAGCGGAAUGGAAGUAGCGGUAAACAGAGUUGUAGCGGUGGUCGUGCAAGGAGUUGCGGUGGCUGGAUGCAAAGAAAGAGGCGCAGCGGUACAAGGAGUUGCGGCAGUGGCGGUGAAAGAUGUGCGGACAAUGGUGGUUCUUUUGCAUAAGAAAGUAGAUCUAAAAAGAAAAGAGAGAAAGAUUGGGAAGAUGAAAAAAAAAAUAUGAAAUUAAAGAGAUAGUGCUGACAACUCUUCUCCACCGUUCGUUUGAUAUAUAGAUAAAAUUAAAGACGAUUAAUAAAAAAAUAGUUUUAUGCUAAAACACAACUAUUUUAUCCAGAAUCUUUUUUCCAUUACAC
rnacentral:lncRNA from 1 species